rnacentral:RNase_P_RNA from 1 species
UGAGUAACACAGAUGAUCGCGCCGAAAAUUCCGAAAGGAUACCGGUGAGGAAAGUCCGAGCUUCAUAGGGCAAGGGUGCCGGAUAACGUCCGGUAGAGGCGACUCUCAGGAAAGUGCAACAGAAAUAAACCGCCAAAUUAUAUUUGGUAAGGAUGGAAAGGUGGUGUAAGAGACCACCGCUUG